rnacentral:rRNA from 1 species
AUUGAACGCUGGCGGCAUGCUUUACACAUGCAAGUCGAACGGUAACAGGCCUUCGGGUGCUGACGAGUGGCGAACGGGUGCGUAAUGCAUCGGAACGUACCCAGAGGCGGGGGAUAACGCAGCGAAAGCUGUGCUAAUACCGCAUGUGAUCUGAGGUUGAAAGCGGGGGACCGAGCAGCAAUGUUUGGCCUCGCGCCUUUGGAGCGGCCGAUGUCGGAUUAGCUAGUUGGUGGGGUAAAGGCCUACCAAGGCGACGAUCCGUAGCUGGUCUGAGAGGACGAUCAGCCACACUGGAACUGAGACACGGCCCAGACUCCUACGGGAGGCAGCAGUGGGGAAUUUUGGACAAUGGGCGAAAGCCUGAUCCAGCAAUGCCGCGUGCGGGAAGAAGGCCUUCGGGUUGUAAACCGCUUUUGGCAGGAACGAAACGGUGUCCGCUAAUACCGGGCGCUAAUGACGGUACCUGAAGAAUAAGCACCGGCUAACUACGUG